rnacentral:tRNA from 1 species
GUCUAGAGAAGUUUUAAGAAUGUAAUAGUGAAGAUAUUGAGGUGACUUUUGUUCCUAGACA